GACAGAGGUAGCCCCGCUAGGAACGCGACGUCCUGUCGCACGCGGGACGCAUAUAUCCUAUAUG
rnacentral:sRNA from 1 species